rnacentral:lncRNA from 1 species
AGAAAAGCAGGUGCUGGUCCACAGUCUCGUCCCACUUACAUGGUAAUGGCUAAGGAAUCUUUGUUGAUCUUUCCUUUUUCUUCUUUGUACUUGAUCAAAUGUAUAUCAAGUGAAGCUGUAAAAUAUGUGGUUUCAAGUAGAUUGCUCAAAGAGGAUAAAAGACUGCCCAUGACUCCUUCAUGUCCGACAGAAAAUGUGUGCACUUCUUCCUCUCCCAGAAUCAAAUAUACAUCCAACCCUUCCCAUAGCAUGGGCAUGCAGGUGUUCUCACCUCUGCACACAAACAGCUUGAGGCUCAGCCAAAUAACCGUAACCAUCAUGUCUCUGCUUUGCUGGGGUUCACUAUGUCCCUGGCCAAGCCCCUCUUCCCUGUACUAAGAUAAGGCCCAUGUGACAAAGCCGGGACUCCUGGCCCUGAGGUUCACCCUCCUCUACCAGGAGCAAAUCUUGGAGCUUGCAGCAGCCAGAACCAAUCUCCCUGGAGUUGAAGACAGAUUGCCGUGUGCUGGGGCUAAGAGAGAUCCUGAAGACUUAUGCAGCUGAUGUGCGCUUGGAUCCAGAUACUG